GUUGGACAUAUAUGAAGCGUAAGGGACUAGCUCAUUCACACUUGAGAUUUAGUAAUGUUCUUACAAUCAUUUAUUUAUGAUCUGCAGGUCUAAAAAACAAGCACCGGGUCCUUCUCCUCCAUGAAUCAGAUGUCAACAAGGCAACACGAAUCUGCAUGAGGCUGAACAUAAAAGAAAGAAAAUGGAGACAACUCGACGAGUUUAGGAACAACAUGUCAUCGACGAUGAGCACUUUUCCAGUCAGGGAAAGGAUUUUUUUAUGCCACGCUAGGACUUUUCGUGGUAUGGAUUGAAAUAGUCCAGUGUCCAGUAUUAUGGGAUUCACUCAAUUCAAUGCUGCUUCAUACUUCAGAGUUCAGACAUUUAUAUGUGCACAACAUGUGCCUUCUAAUUACGAGGUAAAAACUUCAAAUUGUUUUUUCGUCUACACAUAUGCGGUGAUGACGCUGGAUGCUUCGUAUCAUCACAAAGAAGCCGGCCAAGUUCCUUAGUUCCUUGUGACUUCAAACGGACUGAAUUUUGCAUUGUAGGCGUCUACUGUUUCUGAAUUUUAGGGUGGCAGCAACAAGGGCGAGGAGCAUGAUCGUGACACAGAGAUGGGCAAGUGCAGGGAAUGCAGGCAGCGAAAAGUUGUUGCGUUGCGGUUACCAACUACAGGGCCAAAUAUGUCGGCAGCCAUCCGCGCAUUAACUAAUUUAUGGCAGGUGAGGAUGAUAUAUUUUUCUUUUAUUAUCAGUAGUCAUAUUUUUCAUAUUCAAAUCCAAAUGUAAAUGUUCUAUUGCCUUGUACCAUACGGAACUAUUGACUGUGCUUGAUCUAGCCAGCUGGUAUUUUUUUAUAGUUGUUUCUCAUGAAUGAAGGUAAUUAUGAUAAGCAACGGCAUCAGGACAAGAAACAAUUUUAAGAGAACUGAAAUAUGCUAAAAAUAGUGAGGGUGAAAGUUUGUUCCAUUAAGUACUAAUCUAAUGAUAUAUAUGUACAUCAAAGGUUGCCUGCCAGGAGCAUUGCCUCCAUUCCAUUGGUUUGCUGUGCGUUGAGCAUUUAUUUGCAAGAUGCGAUAUAAUCCAAGGCACCUUCCUGAUAAAGAGAGAAAUCAUGUAUAUAAUCUUUGUAUAGCAGUAUACAUGUGCAUAUGUUUUAGAGUGUAUAACAUGGCCAUUGAUAAUUUUGUUAUUAAAUAGUGCUUUUGCUGGAGAUGGAAAUUCAUAGAGAUGACGCCCUAUUGAUAGAGGCGAGUGGACUGGAGGUGUGCGUUGCACUGAGGGCAAAUCAAAGGCUGAAAGUUUGUCAAAUUUCCUGUGCUUGGGUAUGGCUGGUUUGUAAGCAAAUGAGGAUACUCUGCCUUUUUACAGUGGUAUAUUGUUUAGUGAGGGGAAGGUACUCUCUUUUUCUAGACGGAAGAUCAUCUGCUUUGUGGCAAGGGGAUAUAUCGUGUUACUUCUCCCCCAUUUUGGUAUGUCUAAAUUCAGUAACAAGAUUAUACUCCUUGUUAAUUUUCCACGGCGUAACUUCGUAACUACGCGUUUCUCGUGUCGAGGCCAAUAUGCUUAAUGAGUCGGUUAGUUUUAAGUAAGCAUAAAAAACAUUGAUGUGCAAUCUUUUAUUGGUAAUGCAGUGAACAAAUAAAUACUUGAAUGUGAACCACUCUAUUUUGUGCAUCAGAUAUGGCAAGGCUCUCCUUGUGUUGUUUUCCUCCGUUUCUUGUUUUGUUUGGAAAAUGACAUAUUAUUAGCUCCAAGUUAUUGUCUGGAGAAGCUAAGACUAGGACAUGAAGAGAAAGUAACAAAGCAAAGAAAUAGUGGCAAAUAAACGAAAUGAGACAUUUGAAUGAUAUGUUGUUUUCUGGAAAUCAUCAUUAACUCAUUAUUAAUGUAGUGGUAAUACGUUGUUGCGCGUUGGAGAAGACACUGAG
rnacentral:lncRNA from 1 species